rnacentral:lncRNA from 1 species
CUGUUUAAUCACUAACUGAGAUUUCUAUCGAAUAUUUGUCUGAGUUGAAAAUUAAAUUGCUCUGUGUUAAUGAUUAAUUCAUUUGCAGGCUAACUUCAUUUUUAGUCAAUGCUGGGAUUCUUUUACCUGUUCGCAAACAAUAUUCCUAUUAAGAUCAUUAUUUGUAUUGACAUCUUACACAUACUACACAGGCAGGGAGGGAAACUGUUUGGCCUCAUGAUCCUCGCACAGGUUGGAGUUACUGUGUUAUAGUACCAUCCUGGGUUGUCCUGGCAAAGUCUAGAGAUUCAGAUGCUAUAGUGGUAAUUUAAAUGUUUAUGAAUGUUAAGUAACCUGCUUUGGCACCUAAAUAUUGUUUUUAUUAUACAUGAAUCAAUUCUAAAAAUUAAAGAUGGAAGUAGUGUUCAUGAAUUUCUUUUUACUACUAAUCAAUCAGCUCUUAUGUACUUUGUUUCCAAAUGGACAGCCCGUGGAAGUGAACGGAUAAGAAGUUCCUCUUAUUCUGUGUACUGCGAUACGGCAUCAUCUUCUCUUUUAAUUGUGUGAUUGGAAUCAUAAUUUGACAGAAAACUAAGACUUGUAAUGACUUUCUUAGCUUAAAGCAUGGGGGAGUACGUGUGAGCCUGAUCUUAUUGAAUGUAUUUUCUAUAUCUGUGGUAGGUUCCAGUAGAUGUUAGCUACUUUCUUGGCAUAUUUUACCACUGUAGGCAUUAUGGUCCUUAUUACUAAGUAUGGAACACUUAAUGGAAAUGAUAUCAGUCUGACAGUCUCUGUAGUAUGAGCAUUCUUCAGUGCGUUCAUUAUAUCUGCAUUUUAAGAUGUAUUUAGAUGCUUUUUGCAGCAAUAUAUUUCAUCAUAUUGUCUAUAUGCUCUAACCACCAAGUAUAUCUGCAUUUUAAGAUGUAUUUAGAUGCUUUUGUGGCAAUACGUUUCAUCAUAUUGGCUAUAUGCUCUAACCACCAAGUAUAGAACUCUUGAUGUAAAUGAUUCUCGUCUCUGGAGAGUGAGCUUUUCCAGAAGUAUUACCUUAGUUGGAGUCUCUGGAAGUUUUGAUCCUCAGUCAGUUACACUUCUUUUCUUUUGUCUAUGAUUUCCAUAUAGAUUCAUACGUAUUUCUAAUGUGGCACAGUAAUAAGUCAGAAAUUAACCAGUCGUCGUGACUACUCACUUGGGAGUAUAAAGUGGAGGCCUCUGUUUGAAAUACUUAUUUAUAUUCUAUUUUAUGUACCUUACGAGCUUGAAGUGAGAUAAUCUAGUGGUUGAUUUCAUGCCAAUUGCAAUAUGAGAACAGGACUUGGGAGCUGAGAUAAUAUUUGGCUUCUUGAUUCAAUCAUUUUUUUAAAAGUAUAUCACUUUGUGAUGUUCCCCUUAUUUUAUUCUUAUGAGCUGACAUGAGGACAGCUAAUAGAUCGAGCCGAAUCUAAUUAAUACAGUCCAGGCCGGUGGUUCAAAUCGGCUGGGUAAGACUGUGCAUUCCUAUCCUGGUUCCUCCAGAUAUCACCACUCUUGAACUAGAAUCGCUAUUUAUCGCAAACGACUUUAAGAAAAAUCGGAAGUUCUGUAUGAGCUGACAUGAGGACAGCUAAUAGAUGGCAAGUGUAAAUGAGGAGUAGAAGAAGUACUUACUAAGCAUACGUAUAAGGGGCUUUUGCAUUGUUGUUAGUUUCACUGUCUUAAUUGUUAAUCAUGUGCUUUCGAUUAUCUUGGAUGGAAAAAUGGUCUUUUGUAAAGAGUGUUAUACAGGUAGGUGCUGAACCCUGGUUUUGGACUUAUAUGAGCUGACAUGAGGACAGCUAAUAGAUGGCAAGUGUAAAUGAGGAGUAGAAGAAGUACUUACUAAGCAUACGUAUAAGGGGAUUUUGCGUUGUUGUUAGUUUCACUGUCUUAAUUGUUAAUCAUGUGCUUUCGAUUAUCUUGGAUGGAAAAAUGGUCUUUUGUAAAGAGUGUUAUACAGGUAGGUGCUGAACCCUGGUUUUGGACUU